GAUGAACGCUGGCGGCGUGCCUAAUACAUGCAAGUCGAGCGAACAGACGAGGAGCUUGCUCCUCUGACGUUAGCGGCGGACGGGUGAGUAACACGUGGAUAACCUACCUAUAAGACUGGGAUAACUUCGGGAAACCGGAGCUAAUACCGGAUAAUAUAUUGAACCGCAUGGUUCAAUAGUGAAAGACGGUUUUGCUGUCACUUAUAGAUGGAUCCGCGCCGCAUUAGCUAGUUGGUAAGGUAACGGCUUACCAAGGCGACGAUGCGUAGCCGACCUGAGAGGGUGAUCGGCCACACUGGAACUGAGACACGGUCCAGACUCCUACGGGAGGCAGCAGUAGGGAAUCUUCCGCAAUGGGCGAAAGCCUGACGGAGCAACGCCGCGUGAGUGAUGAAGGUCUUCGGAUCGUAAAACUAUGUUAUUAGGGAAGAACAAAUGUGUAAGUAACUAUGCACGUCUUGACGGUACCUAAUCAGAAAGCCACGGCUAACUACGUG
rnacentral:rRNA from 1 species